GCUCUCCUUUUGAGUGCCAUCCAAGUUGCAAGCCACCUAAAUAUCAAGAAUAAUGUUACUGCAAGUAAGGGAAAUGGGCUUGGUACAUGAAAGUAUGUUCCAGCAUUUUGCCGGUGGUCGCAGGACUGAUCCAGAUGUGGUUGACUAGCAUCCAUUCGGCUGCAGGUUGAAUCAGGCAAGUUGCAACCUGCUUGUCUGCUGAAGUUCACUGAAGAUGCCAGACUCUCACGACUCCUGCUGUAGUCUCUCAUGUUUCCAAAGUGGUGACCUGUUUAAUACUUAAAGUGGGUAGAACUGUCCCUGUGCUUAAGCACCAUAAAAUGGUGGCUUGACAGAGCACAGAAAUAAAGUUCCACAUAUUCUGAUUCUUGGAAAUAAUUGUAGGCAACAGGUCAGUUUCAUAAUCCAGCCUGCUGACACCCAAGGUCACUUGUGUCAAAGAGAUAUUAUGAAUAUAUAUACCUUGUUAGGAAUGAAACCCUAUCCACAGUCUAUCACUUAGAGACUUACAGGGUAAUUCAUAGUUUCAGACAUAUGUAUCAGUUGCACUCUACCCCAUUGUGUUAAAAUGUCAAUCAAGGCCAGCAUAUAUUAAACAUAUGAAAUGUUCAAAAUGAUUCCAUUCUAUAUGCUAUGUUCUUGCCAGGUACUGAAUAUUAUUUAUUAAUUUUAAACUCUGUCAUCCUUACAUCACAGUUUACAUGCAAUCCAGCAAGCUGUGUAUCGCACUAGCAUAAUGCUAAACCAUUAACCCAGAGUUAAAGAUUGGCCAACAGCCCAGCAGUAUGGAGAUUUAAACUCCUUACUCCCAUACAGUAAAGGUUAAAGUUUUAAUAUGUAUAUUAUAAAAAAUAAUACAGAUAUGUUUAUUUUAAUAAAAGGAAAUUAAUCAAA